rnacentral:rRNA from 1 species
CUACACACGUGCUACAAUGGGCAGAACAAAGGGCAGCGAAACCGCGAGGUUAAGCCAAUCCCACAAAUCUGUUCUCAGUUCGGAUCGCAGUCUGCAACUCGACUGCGUGAAGCUGGAAUCGCUAGUAAUCGCGGAUCAGCAUGCCGCGGUGAAUACGUUCCCGGGCCUUGUACACACCGCCCGUCACACCACGAGAGUUUGUAACACCCGAAGUCGGUGAGGUAACCUUUAUGGAGCCAGCCGCCGAAGGUGGGACAGAUGAUUGGGGGGAAGUCGUAACAAGGUAGCCGUAUCGGAAGGUGCGGCUGGAUCACCUCCUUUCUAAGGA